rnacentral:RNase_P_RNA from 1 species
AAAGUAGCUCAAAUGAUCGCUAGAAUUUAUUUAAAUUCUAGAGGAAAGUCCGAACACUAAAGGGCAUGGUGCUCCAUAACGUGGAGUCGCAGCAAUGCGAAGGAAAGUGCAACAGAAAGUACACCGCCAUUUUUUAUUGUGGUAAGGGUGAAAAGGUGCGGUAAGAGCGCACCAAUUCCUUAUGUGAGUAAGGAAUUCGGUAAACCCCACCAGGUGCAAGACCAAAUAGGCAAGCAUUAAGGGCUGCCCGUCCAAGCUUGCGGGUAGGUUGCAAGAGGUGACUGAGCAAUCAGCAUCCAAAGAUGAAUGAUCAUUAACUAAUCUGAAGUAAUUCAAAUUAGUAACAGAAUUCGGCUUAUGAGCUUCUUUAACC